CAGGGAUGGGGAUUCCAUCUCCACUUCCCCAUAACUGGUCACGCUCAGGCCGCUGUGUGCACGGCCUGUCCAGACAGCACCCACCUUGGGAAGGCUCCUGGCAGCAGGAUGGAUGAACCAGGAGGGAAAACUGUUCUGCUGGGAUCGAUUCUCCCUGGUGGCACAGUUUUAGGCGCGGGGAAGCAGUGCUUGCCCGGCGAGCUCUGCCCCACACAGCGACGUGGGAUGGCCCGACAAGGGCAGGAGCUGGGCUCCCAAAGCCCCGGAGAAGCCCCAGGCGCCCCCAGGCCUUACCUCCCAGCGUGGCGAAGAAGCCCUCCACGGCACAGCCGGUGGGGCCGAAGAUGAAGUAGCCGUUCCAGGCGGUGGUGAACGUGACGGUGAAGCCAAAACAGGCCAUGAAGAGAUCGGCCACCGCCAGGUUGACCAAGAUGUAGUUGAGCGGCUGCCGGAGCUUCUUGUGUUUGAAGGUGACCAGGAGGGUGAGGAAGUUGAUGGGGAAGCCGGUGGAGAUGAGGAAGAAGAUGUAGACGCAGACGAUGCGGUAUUUCCAGGGCUCGGCCAGAGAGAGUGCAGAGAGACCAGCCCAACCUGGAAGAGCAAGUAGGAUGGAAAGAAGCUUCUCCCAGUCUCUCAGCACUGACUGUGGAAUGUGGGAUCCCCAUUCCGGGACACACGAGACUGUGAAACCUUCCCAGCAGGAUCAGUGCCAGCUUGGAGCACCAGUGCUCCAUCUCAUCCAAGCUCUUCCCCAUUUCUUCCUUCUGGGUCAUGGGUGCUCCUUCUCCAGGAGGCCUGGCUAAGGCGCCUUAGGAAGCUCUUCCCUUAAUCCCUGACAUCUGGGGCGUUAACGCCUGAUCGGAUAAGGGGGUAAGCUCUCAGCCUCCUCCUCACCGCUGCCCUCCACGAGACAUGCAUGGAAAAAUCAGCCUUGUCCUGCAGGAUGAGUGAGGCCCUUCUGCAAGGCUGGAGCCUCUCAGGGCCGGGGCACGGGAGCGGAAGGCUCAGGAGGGUGGGAGGGAUGGAUGGAUCGUGUCCUAAUCGCUGAUCCAACAGCAGCAGAACUGGGACGUGGCCAGAGGAAGUGGGUCACACCAGCCUCAGGUGCCCUGGGACAAGGACUCCCCAUGGGAUGGCUGUGCCUCUUGGAAUUAUCUCACCCCACAGCCUGUGAAACCACCACUCGUGAAAUUCUGGGUCUAAGUCUUCCCUGAGGGGAAGAGCUUCUUGUGGAGAAGUCCCAUGGCCCUGGAAGCUGUGCAUCCAUCUCGGUUCCAGUGUGUCCCUCCCAGCUUCCAUGGGAGAAAGCAACUCUCUUCAGCUACAGUAUUUCACUGUGAUGGCCCACCUUCAACCUUGCAGUUAGCACCAGGAGCACCUGAAAGCUCCAAGGUUUUACAUGUGGACACAAGUGCCUCACGGGAUUGUUAAUUUUCCCCUCCCAUCUCUGAGACUUCCUGCCACCUCUUUGUGUGUCCUGACUUUGCCUGAAGAGUUGAGAGCUGUACAAGGAAAGCACAGCUAUGGGGGAAGGGGGCACUGACAGGUCUGGGUGCUGAGGGAAAGGAUCAGCAGUACUUUCUGCAGAGGGACUUUUCCUGGCUCAGCAGAUCCCCUCCACUCUCUUUAACAUGAGGUGUGGUCCAGGUUUGGCUUCAUGCGUGGUCCCCGGGAACCUUUCACAGAGAGAGAACUGCCAACAGAGGGUCAACAAGAUCCAGACCGGGAUGUUUCCCCUUUUUGGAGCUGACUGUGGGGCAGGUUCCCCAUCACCAUCCUGCUCCAGGCUCUCCCCCAGAACAGCCUCACAGGAGUGGAUACACUGAGCCAUAAAGCAGCUGGGAAGCAGGAGAGCUGCACCACGCCAACCUCUUCUCGUGGUAUUUGCAAGCAGGCAGGCCCCUGUCAGCUCCCAGGCUUUUCCUCCCUCUGCUGAUCCAGGAUGAACUGGUGCCUUGGGAGCCAGAAUGGAGAGGAAGCAGCAGCAAACCCCAGACACAGAUAACCAGGCACUGACUGCCGAGGGCUGUGGGACGAGCAGGGUGACUCCAGUGAGGGUCUGACAAAUCCUGGGCAGCUGGCACCGAUCUGCCACUGUCCCAGGAAACCUACUGGCAGCUGGAACCACUGACCACAGCAAUGGCUGUGCCUCUUCUUUCCCCCCCUCUUCUUUCUUUCCCCCCUUUUUUCCCUGCCCUUCUUUCCCCCGGGGUGGGCACAUGCCCGGCCCAUGUCCAUGGUCACCUGCAGAUCCCGGGGGUUGGAUCCCUUCCCUCGGGGUCACACCUGGCUGCUCUGAGCUGGGCCUUACCUGAGUGCCCCCCUGCAGUGCUGAGCACAGGGCUGGGGUUUGCCUCCCGUGUGGGAGCAGGAGCAUCAUCCAUCAUCCCCCUGCUGCUGUGACAGCCCGAGCGGCCCCACAAACAGCCACUUAAUGCAUUUCGUGCUGCCUUGGUUGUUGUCUUGCAGUGCUUAACCUGCUCCACCGGGGUUUGAUACGGGAACAGCAGGAGGGAAGGAGGGAACGAGAAAAUAAAAGCCAGGAAUGGCCAUGAAUUACCCUGAAUUACACCAGAGUCAUGGGGAGGAAUCCGAGUGGGACCAGG